UGCCUCAGUAACGGCGAGUGAAGCGGCAACAGCUCAAAUUUGAAAUCUGGCCCCAGGCCCGAGUUGUAAUUUGCAGAGGAUGCUUUUGGUGCGGUGCCUUCCAAGUUCCCUAGAACGGGACGCCAGAGAGGGUGAGAGCCCCGUACAGUUGGACACCAAGCCUUUGUAAAGCUCCUUCGACGAGUCGAGUAGUUUGGGAAUGCUGCUCAAAAUGGGAGGUAUAUUUCUUCUAAAGCUAAAUACCGGCCAGAGACCGAUAGCGCACAAGUAGAGUGAUCGAAAGAUGAAAAGCACUUUGAAAAGAGGGUUAAACAGCACGUGAAAUUGUUAAAAGGGAAGCGCUUGUGACCAGACUUGCGUCCGGUGAAUCACCCAGCUCUCGCGGCUGGGGCACUUCGCCGGCUCAGGCCAGCAUCAGCUCGCUGUCGGGGACAAAAGCUUCAGGAACGUAGCUCUCUUCGGGGAGUGUUAUAGCCUGUUGCACAAUACCCUUCGGCGGGCUGAGGUACGCGCUCCGCAAGGAUGCUGGCAUAAUGGUCAUCAGCGACCCGUCUUGAAACACGGACCAAGGAGUCAACCUUAUGUGCGAGUGUUCGGGUGUCAAACCCCUACGCGUAAUGAAAGUGAACGCAGGUGAGAGCUUCGGCGCAUCAUCGACCGAUCCUGAUGUUCUCGGAUGGAUUUGAGUAAGAGCAUAUAGGGUUGGACCCGAAAGAAGGUGAACUAUGCGUGUAUAGGGUGAAGCCAGAGGAAACUCUGGUGGAGGCUCGCAGCGGUUCUGACGUGCAAAUCGAUCGUCAAAUAUGCGCAUGGGGGCGAAAGACUA
rnacentral:rRNA from 1 species